UGAUCCAUGGCCAGCUCUCCGUGGUCGGAGGUGAACAGAACAAUAGUCUUCUGAAGAAGACUUAACUGGUGGAGAGUCAAAAUAAUCUCACCUACCAAAAAAGAGGAACAAGCUAUUGAACUGGAAAAGGCUACUGUUUGGAAGCUGCUUUAAUUUUUAGCUGGCCUUGAACCAAGCUGAACAUAGGAAUUCUGUUCCAGCUGCAGAUGAAGAAGCUAAGGCUCUGGGAGAGGAACUGGCCCUAUGGCACACAGAUAAUUGGACUUGAAUCUGGAUCUUCUGACUCCAAGGUCAGCAGUCUUUCUAUUAUGUUGCCUCUGCUUGAGCCGUGAGAACACAAAACACAUAUAUACACAUCCAAUGGAAGGUAAUAUAUUGAGGUUAAAAAGACAAGUAUGUUCAUUUUUGCAAAGCUAACUCUUUAGUUAUUAUAUCCUCUUAUGACAAGGCUUUGACUUAAUUAGAAUAUUAAUUUUUCAUAUUUCUUCUUACCUUGGAUGAAAGGAAUAAAAGAACAGAAUUCUAAAUAAAACAUGUGGAAGUUAAUCUCAGUUUUUGAAGGUAUACUUACUC